rnacentral:rRNA from 1 species
GUGUCAGCCGCCGCGGUAAUACGGAGGGUGCGAGCGUUAAUCGGAAUUACUGGGCGUAAAGGGCGCGUAGGCGGUCGCGCAAGUCGGGUGUGAAAGCCCCGGGCUCAACCUGGGAAUUGCAUUCGAUACUGCGUAACUAGAGUCUGGUAGAGGGAAGCGGAAUUCCGCAUGUAGCGGUGAAAUGCGUAGAUAUGCGGAGGAACACCAGUGGCGAAGGCGGCUUCCUGGACCAAGACUGACGCUGAGGCGCGAAGGCGUGGGGAGCAAACAGGAUUAGAUACCCUGGUAGUCCACGCCCUAAACGAUGAGGACUAGACGUUGGGGGGAUAAAACCCUUUAGUGUCGCAGCUAACGCGUGAAGUCCUCCGCCUGGGGAGUACGGCCGCGAGGUUGAAACUCAAAUGAAUUGACGG